AGAAACUUAGCAUAUAGGCCAGUCAUUAAAGCCAAACCCCGAAAGUAAUUAGUAACUUGAUAAAAUUUUAGGGGGUUUUUAAAGAAGGUAAAAUAACUUACCGUGUGAUUUUGCAGCGUUGUGGGGUGUACGGAAAGGGUUGAAAAGGGGUGAAAAGGGUUUUUGUUAAUAACUUUGCCAAAAAAAUUAGUAACACGCUGCAAAUUUAUAAUAAGGUUGUUCUUACCGUUUUGUAACGUUUAUUAAAUUUGCAGCGUUUUGCAACAUACGGAACAUUGUUUAUUAUUAAAAAAC